GACAUUUGGUAGAGACUGUUGAAGCCCCCUGGUCCCAGAAAACCCCAGAAAACAGCCACAUUCGCUGGUGCUGGAACAAAGUCAUUAAGGGUGAAGGCUGGUGCCAGAUGUGU
ensembl:rRNA 5S_rRNA 5S ribosomal RNA